CCUACGGGGGGCAGCAGUGAGGAAUAUUGGUCAAUGGACGAGAGUCUGAACCAGCCAAGUAGCGUGAAGGAUGACUGCCCUAUGGGUUGUAAACUUCUUUUAUAUGGGAAUAAAAUGUUCCACGUGUGGGCUUUUGUAUGUACCUUAUGAAUAAGGAUCGGCUAACUCCGUGCCAGCAGCCGCGGUAAUACGGAGGGUCCGAGCGUUAUCCGGAUUUAUUGGGUUUAAAGGGAGCGUAGGUGGAGUGUUAAGUCAGUUGUGAAAGUUUGCGGCUCAACCGGAAAAUUGCAGUUGAAACUGGCAGUCUUGAGUACAGUAGAGGUGGGCAGAAUUCGGGGUGUAGCGGUGAAAUGCUUAGAUAUCUCGAAGAACACCGAUUGCGAAGGCAGCUCACUGGACUGCAACUGACACUGAGGUGCGAAAGUGUGGGUAUCAAACAGGAUUAGAUACCCCAGUAGUC
rnacentral:rRNA from 1 species